UUCNNNNNNNNNNNNNNNNNNNNNNNNNNNUAAAUUCCUCUUCUUUUCUUUUUUCCUAAGGUUCAUCUUUUCCUGUCGUCAUGUCAAUUUGCAUGACUUGAACCUGAAGAGCUGGAAGAUGUUCCUGUCUCCCAGGACAGCUGUGUAGCCUCUAUUUCGGGCACUCUUUUGGACCCUUUCAGAAGAAGGUGAGCUGACAACGCAGACUAAAACAGUGAGGAUCAAGGCAUGAAAGUUCAAGGACAGUGAAGGAGAACAAACGUUCAGUGGAGAAGCAGAGCUGCUAUAGUGCCUACACCUGCGUGUUCUCCUCCACGUCUGUGUACUGUUAGCAGGGUCCGGGAGAUGUGUGGUGUCUCGCGCCAAGAAAAGAGUCAGCCUUUUUUCUGAGAGAGAGAACAACCUGCGUUGCAUUUUGAGAAGGCUCUCAGGCACUAUAAUGCAAAGACAGAUUGCCGCAUGGUGUGUACUGAGACGAGUAUUUCAUACUCAGUCCUACUGCGGAGAAACAGCCAUUUCCUAACAAUUUGUGCAAGUCUCGACUUACCUGAGACAGGAUGAGCUGAUUAUUCCGACUGAGCUUCUUCAAAUGCCUUCCUGCAUUGGUCAGACGCUGCAUGCUUCAGUCAGUCGUGAUUUAGCCAAUUCUUGACCUCCAACUUGUAAUCCAUCAAUAAGUAAUGUCCAGCUGCGCUCUUCGGAAUACUAGAAGGAACACAUUGGAGCCCAUUCCUUGUAAGCAACAAUCGAAAGGACCAUUAGCACCUCAGCUCUGGACUAAUGAGGAACACAACUUCUGUGCUGGGGAUAUCGACUUAGGCCUGAGAUCCCGCGGUGUUUCUCCCGUUGGAGUCUGUCUCCCCCCUUCCCCCCCAGUUGUAGUGGUUGUCUACUCGCACUUUGCCCACGUGAAGGUAAGGCAGACUCCGGAAAAUAAAUGAAACACUGCCACAAUGAUGUUCUGGUUAAUCUUG
rnacentral:lncRNA from 1 species